AGUGAACGCUGGCGGUAGGCCUAACACAUGCAAGUCGAACGGCAGCACAGUAAGAGCUUGCUCUUACGGGUGGCGAGUGGCGGACGGGUGAGGAAUACAUCGGAAUCUACUUUUUCGUGGGGGAUAACGUAGGGAAACUUACGCUAAUACCGCAUACGACCUACGGGUGAAAGCAGGGGAUCUUCGGACCUUGCGCGAUUGAAUGAGCCGAUGUCGGAUUAGCUAGUUGGCGGGGUAAAGGCCCACCAAGGCGACGAUCCGUAGCUGGUCUGAGAGGAUGGAUCACCCCACUUGGACUUAGGCACCGUCCCAAACCCCACGGGGGGGCCGAGGGGGGAAAUUUGGGAAAAGGGGCGAAACCCUGCCCCAGCCAUACCGGGUGGGUAAAGAAGGCCUUCGGUUUGUAAAGCCCUUUUGUUGGGAAAAAAAAGCAGCAGGUUAAUACCCCGCUGUUCGGCGGGGACCAAAAAAAUAAGCACCGGACAAUUUCGG
rnacentral:rRNA from 1 species